AACGCGAAGAACCUUACCCAGGUUAGAAGUGCAGGAGAAGAUAGCAGAGAUGAUAUCGCUCGAAAGGGCUGCUGCAUAGGUGCUGCAUGGCUGUCGUCAGCUCGUGCCGUGAGGUGUUGGGUUAAGUCCCGCAACGAGCGCAACCCUUAUCAUUAGUUGCCAACACGAGAGGUGGGGACUCUAAUGAGACUGCCUAGGUUAACUAGGAGGAAGGUGAGGAUGACGUCAAGUCCGCAUGGCCUUUAUGUCUGGGGCUACACACGUGCUACAAUGGUCGGUACAGAAGGCAGCGAAAUCGCAAGAUGAAGCAAAUCCCCAAAGCCGAUCUCAGUUCAGAUUGUGGUCUGCAACUCGACCACAUGAAGUUGGAAUUGCUAGUAAUGACGUGUCAGCAACAACGUCGUGAAUACGUUCCCGGGCCUUGUACACACCGGUAUCUC
rnacentral:rRNA from 1 species